GAUGAACGCUGGCGGCGUGCCUAACACAUGCAAGUCGAACGGACGGACGAUAAGCUUGUGCCCUUGAUGUUAGCGGCGGGCGGGUGAGUAACGCGUGGAUCACCUACUUAUAUUUCUGGGAUAAUUACGGGAAACCGUAUCUAAUACCAGAUAAUAUUUUGAACCGCAGGGUUCAAAAGUGAAUGACGGCCUUGCUGUCACUAAUAGCUGGAUCCGCGCUGCAUUAGCUAGUUGGUAAGGUAACGGCUUACCAAGGCGACGAUGCAUAGCCGAGCUGAGAGGAUGAUCAGCCACACUGGAACUGAGACACGGUCCAGACUCCUACGGGAGGCAGCAGUAGGGAAUCUUGCGCAAUGGGCGAAAGCCUGACGGAGCAAGGCCGCGUGAGUGAAGAAGGUCUUCGGGUCGUAAAGCUCUGUUAUUGGGGAAGAAAAGCUGUGGGAGUAUCUCUGCGCGUCUUGACGGUACCUAAUGAAAAAGCCACGGCUAACUUCGUG
rnacentral:rRNA from 1 species